rnacentral:lncRNA from 1 species
GUGGGUCUCUAUAGAGAGUGAGAACUAAUUCUUACCUGUAUUCUUUUGAGAAUUUUCCUCUGGCUGACAACGUCAUAAAGGAAUGAUGGUAGAUUAGGGGAGAUAAGCUGAAAGAGACCUUGUGAUUUGAUACUGCAAUAUUUUACACAAAAUUUACAGCACAAAACUUUUUAAUAGAUGUAUCUUUGAACAUAAACCUUACAUAUACUGUCACCUUGCAACUUGUGGGAAGUUAAUAACUAAUAAUUCAGGGAUAUUUUUAAAAUUACUUCUAUAUAAACAAAGGAAAGAAAUACAGACAGACAGAGAUAUGAAAAAAGACUACAAAAUCAUACAGGAGAUGGAUGAGUAAGCAUAUUCUUAUUGUUCAAAUCUUGGAGUUGACCUCUUAGAGGCCCAUACCCUUCAAAAGAAACCUGAAUUUCACGUUAUUAUUUAAAUCUUCUUUGAGAGUCUAAAUAUCCACCAAUUCUCCAGCCUUACCAGGGAAACUUUACCUACAACAGGCCCCACGCAUAGAAGGCAAUUCAUAAAUAUGUUUGAUGAAUUUAAGUAUUGCCGAAUAAAUUACUAGCAGGAAAUUAUCAUUCAUUCAUUUAAAAUGUUUAUGGAAUUCUAGUGCUAUUACAGGCACUAAAAUAUGGAGAUUGUUAACAACGACAAAUAUCCUUGACAAUGUCCACCCCAAAACAGAAGGCAGAACGCACACAAGGUAUAACAAACCUGUGAGCUCUGACUGUAUGAGGUAUCCAGUGCCAGGAAUGAUGUUUGCAAAAGAGAACAAAGGUUGA